UUUAAAUAUGUUUGUUCAGGUGCUCGCAUGAGAUUAAAUAGGGAACCCCGUUAAAGUCGGGGACGGGCCCGCCGCUGUAAUCGGGGACGAACACCGCAGGUUGCUCAAUAGU
rnacentral:ncRNA from 2 species